rnacentral:misc_RNA from 1 species
GAUGAGAACGCAGCGAAAUGCGAUACGUAAUGUGAAUUGCAAAUUCAGUGAAUCAUCGAGUCUUUGAACGCACAUUGCGCCCCCUGGUAUUCCGGGGGGCAUGCCUGUCCGAGCGUCAUUGCUGCCCUCAAGCACGGCUUGUGUGUUGGGCCCCGUCCUCCGAUCCCGGGGGACGGGCCCGAAAGGCAGCGGCGGCACCGCGUCCGGUCCUCGAGCGUAUGGGGCUUUGUCACCCGCUCUGUAGGCCCGGCCGGCGCUUGCCGAUCAACCCAAAUUUUUUAUCCAGGUUGACCUCGGAUCAGGUAGGGAUACCCGCUGAACUUAAGCAUAUCAAUAAGCGGAGGA